rnacentral:rRNA from 1 species
CAGCCGCCGCGGGAAUACGUAGGGUGCAAGCGUUAAUCGGAAUUACUGGGCGUAAAGCGUGCGCAGGCGGUUCUAUAAGACAGAUGUGAAAUCCCCGGGCUCAACCUGGGAACUGCAUUUGUGACUGUAGAGCUGGAGUGCGGCAGAGGGGGAUGGAAUUCCGCGUGUAGCAGUGAAAUGCGUAGAUAUGCGGAGGAACACCGAUGGCGAAGGCAAUCCCCUGGGCCUGCACUGACGCUCAUGCACGAAAGCGUGGGGAGCAAACAGGAUUAGAUACCCCAGUAGUCCCUGUCUCUUAUAC